rnacentral:rRNA from 1 species
AUACGGAGGGGGCUAGCGUUGUUCGGAAUUACUGGGCGUAAAGCGUGCGUAGGCGGCCCAUAAAGUCAGGCGUGAAAGCCCCGGGCUCAACCUGGGAACUGCGCUUGAAACGUGUGGGCUAGAGUCCGGGAGAGGAUGGUGGAAUUCCCAGUGUAGAGGUGAAAUUCGUAGAUAUUGGGAAGAACACCGGUGGCGAAGGCGGCCAUCUGGACCGGUACUGACGCUAAGGCGCGAAAGCGUGGGGAGCAAACAGGAUUAGAAACCCCUGUAGUCC